rnacentral:rRNA from 1 species
CGCAUCUGUGCAUGCAGCAUAUCAAUAAGCGGAGGAAAAGAAACUAACAAGGAUUCCCUUAGUAACGGCGAGUGAAGCGGGAAGAGCUCAAAUUUGAAAUCUUCAAGGUUUUACCUUGACGAAUUGUAGUUUAAAGAAGUGUUUUCUGUUGAAGUUUUGGUAAAAGUUCUUUGGAAUAGGACGUCAUAGAGGGUGAGAAUCCCGUAUUUGACCAUUAUUUUCAGCUGUGUGAUACACUUUCAAAGAGUCGGAUUGUUUGGGAAUGCAGUCCAAAAUGGGUGGUAAAUUUCAUCUAAAGCUAAAUAUUGGCGAGAGACCGAUAGCGAACAAGUACCGUGAGGGAAAGAUGAAAAGAACUUUGAAAAGAGAGUUAAACAGUACGUGAAAUUGUCAAAAGGGAAGCGUUUGACACCGGUGUUGUUUUCUCGAAAAUCAAUUAAAAAGAGUUAGAUUUUGUUGUGUAUUGACCUUAACAGCUUGCAUUUCAAUUUUCUUGCUUUUUUUAAGGCACUUUUCGUUUAACAAGUCAACAUCAGUUUCUUUUGUUGUAAAAAGGUCAUUGGAAGGUGGCUUUCUUUCGGAGAAAGUGUUUAUAGCCUUUGACUCCUGCAAUCGGAGAGACUGAGGUCUGCAGCGUAGAUCCUUCGGGGUUAGAUACAUUUGUGCUAAGUUAUAGCUUUUUAUAGACAACUUGUUGACUAUGAUUAGUCUUGUAGGCUUACUCGCUUAUGCUAUUUUACCUACGCUUAGGAUGUUGACGCGCGUGUGUGCGUG